UACAGAGGUCUCAAGCGUUGUUCGGAAUCACUGGGCGUAAAGGGUGCGUAGGUGGCGUGGUAAGUCAGAUGUGAAAGCCCGGGGCUCAACCUCGGAAUUGCAUCCGAUACUGCCAUGCUAGAGAAAUGGAGAGGAGUCUAGAAUUCACGGUGUAGCAGUGAAAUGCGUAGAUAUCGUGAGGAAUACCAACGGCGAAGGCAGGACUCUGGACAUUUUCUGACACUGAUGCACGAAGGCUAGGGUAGCGAACGGG
rnacentral:rRNA from 1 species